CCCGCUGAACUUAAGCAUAUCAAUAAGCGGAGGAAAAGAAACUAACAAGGAUUCCCCUAGUAACUGCGAGUGAAGCGGGAAAAGCUCAAAUUUAAAAUCUGGCGGUCCUCUGGCUGUCCGAGUUGUAAUCUGGAGAAGCGUUUUCCGCAUCGGACCGUGUACAAGUCUUCUGGAACGGAGCGUCAUAGAGGGUGAGAAUCCCGUCUCUGACAAGGACUGCCGACGCUUCAUGUGAUACGCUCUCGAAGAGUCGAGUUGUUUGGGAAUGCAGCUCAAAAUGGGUGGUAAAUUCCAUCUAAAGCUAAAUACUGGCGAGAGACCGAUAGCGAACAAGUACCGUGAGGGAAAGAUGAAAAGCACUUUGGAAAGAGAGUUAAACAGUACGUGAAAUUGUUGAAAGGGAAACGUUUGAAGUCAGUCGCGUCGGCCGGGACUCAGCCUUGCUAUCUUGCUUGGUGCACUUCUCGGUCGACGGGUCAGCAUCAAUUUUGACCGUCGGAUAAAGGCCGAGGGAACGUGGCAUCCUCCGGGGUGUGUUAUAGCCUGGUGAUGCAUACAGUGGUUGGGAUUGAGGAAUUCAGCACGCCACCAGGCCGGGUUUUGACCACGUUCGUGCUUAGGAUGCUGGCAUAAUGGCUUUAAUUGACCCGUCUUGAAACACGG
rnacentral:rRNA from 1 species